AGAGUUUGAUCCUGGCUCAGAACGAACGCUGGCGGCGUGCUUAACACAUGCAAGUCGUACGAGAAAGGGAGCUUCGGUUCCCGAGUAAAGUGGCGCACGGGUGAGUAACGCGUAGAUAAUCUACCCUUAUGACUGGGAUAACAGAGCGAAAGGUCUGCUAAUACCGGAUGUGCUCAUAAUUACCAGGUAAUAAUGAUGAAAGGUGCCCUCUGCUUGCACGGUAUCACAUAGGGAUGAGUCUGCGUACCAUUAGCUAGUUGGUGGGGUAAUGGCCUACCAAGGCAACGAUGGUUAGCGGGUCUGAGAGGAUGAUCCGCCACACUGGAACUGGAACACGGACCAGACUCCUACGGGAGGCAGCAGUGAGGAAUUUUGCGCAAUGGGGGAAACCCUGACGCAGCGACGCCGCGUGGGUGAAGAAGGCCUUCGGGUCGUAAAGCCCUGUCAAGUGGGAAGAAACACAUAGAGUCUAAUACAUUUUAUGUUUGACGGUACCACUGGAGGAAGCACCGGCUAACUCCGUGCCAGCAGCCGCGGUAAUACGGAGGGUGCGAGCGUUGUUCGGAAUUACUGGGCGUAAAGGGCGUGUAGGCGGCUUUGUAAGUCAGAUGUGAAAGCCCUCGGCUCAACCGGGGAAGUGCAUCUGAAACUGCAAGGCUUGAGUAUGGGAGAGGGAAGUGGAAUUCCCGGUGUAGAGGUGAAAUUCGUAGAUAUCGGGAGGAACACCGGUGGCGAAAGCGACUUCCUGGACCAAUACUGACGCUAAGGCGCGAAAGCGUGGGGAGCAAACAGGAUUAGAUACCCUGGUAGUCCACGCCGUAAACGAUGAACACUAGGUGUGGGGGGUGUUGACCCCUUCUGUGCCGUAGCUAACGCAUUAAGUGUUCCGCCUGGGGAGUACGGCCGCAAGGUUAAAACUCAAAGGAAUUGACGGGGGCCCGCACAAGCGGUGGAGUAUGUGGUUUAAUUCGACGCAACGCGAAGAACCUUACCUAGACUUGACAUCCCGGGGAUCUCUAUGAAAGUAGAGAGUGCCUGCGCAAGUGGGAACCUGGAGACAGGUGCUGCAUGGCUGUCGUCAGCUCGUGUCGUGAGAUGUUGGGUUAAGUCCCGCAACGAGCGCAACCCUCGCCUUUAGUUGCCAUCAAUUCGGUUGGGCACUCUAAAGGGACUGCCGGUGUUAAACCGGAGGAAGGUGGGGAUGACGUCAAGUCCUCAUGGCCUUUAUGUCUAGGGCUACACACGUACUACAAUGGCCGGUACAAAGGGCAGCGACCUCGCGAGGGGAAGCGAAUCUCAGAAAGCCGGUCUCAGUCCGGAUUGCAGUCUGCAACUCGACUGCAUGAAGUUGGAAUCGCUAGUAAUCGUGGAUCAGCAUGCCACGGUGAAUACGUUCCCGGGCCUUGUACACACCGCCCGUCACACCACGAAAGUUGGUUGUACCAGAAGUCGCUGAGCUAACCCGCAAGGGAGGCAGGUGCCCAAGGUAUGGCUGAUGAUUGGGGUGAAGUCGUAACAAGGUA
rnacentral:rRNA from 1 species